rnacentral:rRNA from 1 species
GAACGCUGGCGGCGUGCUUAACACAUGCAAGUCGAACGAGAACGGGAUAUAGCUUGCUAUAUUUGUCAGCUAAGUGGCGCACGGGUGAGUAAUGUAUAGAUAACCUGCCCUCUAGAAAGGAAUAACAGUUGGAAACGACUGCUAAUGCCCUAUAUGCCUUUAAUACAUAAGUAUGCAAGGGAAACGCUUUAGUGCUAGAGGAUGGGUCUGUAUGGUAUCAGCUUGUUGGUGAGGUAAUGGCUCACCAAGGCUAUGACGCCUAACUGGUCUGAGAGGACGACCAGCCACACUGGGACUGAGACACGGCCCAGACUCCUACGGGAGGCAGCAGGUGGGGUAAUUUUGGACAAUGGGCGCAAGCCUGAUCCAGCAAUGCCGCGUGCAGGAAGAAGGCCUUCGGGUUGUAAACUGUCUUUUGUACGGAACGAAAAGUCCGGGUUAAUACCCUGGGCCCAUGACGGUACCGUAAGAAUAAGCACCGGCUAACUACGUG